GCCGACGUGGCUCAAUUGGCAGAGCAACUGAUUUGUAAUCAGUAGGUUGUAGGUUCGAGUCCUAUCGUCGGCACCA
rnacentral:tRNA from 4 species